rnacentral:rRNA from 1 species
AUGGCUGAUGAGGAUGUUCAACCUAUCGUGUGCGACAACGGCACUGGAAUGGUCAAGGCUGGUUUUGCCGGUGAUGAUGCACCCAGGGCUGUCUUUCCUAGCAUUGUAGGAAGGCCACGCCAUACCGGUGUCAUGGUUGGUAUGGGCCAAAAGGAUGCCUAUGUGGGCGAUGAAGCUCAAGCGAAGAGAGGUAUCCUGACUUUGAAAUACCCCAUUGAACAUGGCAUUGUCAACAACUGGGAUGACAUGGAGAAAAUAUGGCAUCACACGUUCUACAACGAGCUCCGUGUCGCACCAGAGGAUCAUCCUGUGUUGCUGACUGAGGCCCCUCUCAACCCCAAGGCCAACAGAGAGAAAAUGACCCAGAUCAUGUUCGAAACCUUCAGUUGCCCAGCAAUGUAUGUUGCAAUCCAGGCCGUUCUGUCCUUGUAUGCCAGCGGUCGAACAACUGGUAUUGUGCUCGACUCUGGUGAUGGUGUGAGCCACACUGUUCCAAUCUACGAGGGAUACACGCUUCCUCAUGCUAUCCUUCGUUUGGACCUUGCUGGCCGGGACCUCACGGAUAAUCUAAUGAAGAUCCUCACAGAAAGAGGGUACUCCCUCACAACAACCGCUGAGCGGGAAAUUGUCAGAGACAUAAAGGAGAAGCUCGCUUACGUGGCCCUUGAUUAUGAGCAGGAGCUGGAAACGGCUAGGAGCAGCUCCUCUGUGGAGAAGAGCUAUGAGAUGCCUGAUGGUCAGGUUAUAACAAUUGGUUCAGAAAGGUUCAGGUGCCCUGAGGUGCUGUUCCAGCCAUCUCAUGUUGGUAUGGAAGUUCCUGGUAUACACGAAGCGACAUACAAUUCCAUCAUGAAGUGUGAUGUUGAUAUCAGAAAGGAUCUGUAUGGUAAUGUUGUUCUCAGUGGAGGUUCUACCAUGUUUCCUGGAAUUGCUGAUCGCAUGAGCAAAGAGAUCACGGCCCUUGCUCCUAGCAGUAUGAAGGUUAAAGUUAUUGCACCACCUGAAAGGAAAUACAGUGUCUGGAUCGGUGGCUCUAUUUUGGCCUCUCUUAGCACUUUCCAGCAGAUGUGGAUCUCCAAGGCGGAGUACGAUGAGUCUGGUCCCGGCAUUGUCCACAUGAAGUGCUUUUGA